AGUAACGCGUGGAUAACCUGUCGUAUGCAGGGGGAUACCAACUGGAAACAGUUGCUAAUACCGCAUAAGCGCACAGCACCGCAUGGUGCAGUGUGAAAAGAUUUAUCGGCAUACGAUGGAUCCGCGUCCGAUUAGCCAGUUGGCGGGGUAGAAGCCCACCAAAGCGACGAUCGGUAGCCGGCCUGAGAGGGCGGACGGCCACAUUGGGACUGAGACACGGCCCAAACUCCUACGGGAGGCAGCAG
rnacentral:rRNA from 1 species